AACGAACGCUGGCGGCAGGCCUAAUACAUGCAAGUCGAACGCACCUUCGGGUGAGUGGCAGACGGGUGAGUAACGCGUGGGAACCUUCCCUGUAGUACGGAAUAACCCCGGGAAACCGGUGCUAAUACCGUAUACGCCCUUCGGGGGAAAGAUUUAUCGCUACAGGAUGGGCCCGCGUUGGAUUAGCUAGUUGGUGAGGUAAAAGCUCACCAAGGCAACGAUCCAUAGCUGGUCUGAGAGGAUGAUCAGCCACACUGGGACUGAGACACGGCCCAGACUCCUACGGGAGGCAGCAGUAGGGAAUAUUGGACAAUGGGCGAAAGCCUGAUCCAGCCAUGCCGCGUGAGUGAAGAAGGCCUUAGGGUUGUAAAACUCUUUUAGCGGGGAAGAUAAUGACGGUACCCGCAGAAUAAGCCCCGGCUAACUUCG
rnacentral:rRNA from 1 species